AUACACACACACACACACGUACAUACAUUACAACACAGUCAAAACCCUAUUAAUGUUACGAUCCAUUUCCUGCAGGUGCCAAUUUUCAAGUCUGGAUACACGACAAUAAACUCACCAAAUUGCCGGAAGAUGUUUGGCAGCCGAUGUUUGAUGCCAAUAUUAGACUUUCUGCCAGAAAUAAUAACAUUACGUGUGACUGUGAAAUUGCUUGGAUCGUCCUCGACGCUAACAACCUCGCCCACCUGGCGGAUAACCCGACUUGCGCAAGUGGAGAGCCCAUACUCGAGCUUGACACUUCCCUAUUCCUUGAACUCUGCACAUAACUACCUAUGUGCCGAGGAAAUAUUUCUAUUUUACGUAGAAACGUGUUCCGUCAAACUUCCUUCAUGCUUUAGCUAAAUAAAACUGGACACUUAU